GUGAGGAAUUUUCCGCAAUGGGCGAAAGCCUGACGGAGCAAUGCCGCGUGAAGGAUGAAGGCCUAUGGGUUGUAAACUUCUUUUCUUAGAGAAGAAUAUUGACGGUAUCUGAGGAAUAAGCAUCGGCUAACUCUGUGCCAGCAGCCGCGGUAAGACAGAGGAUGCAAGCGUUAUCCGGAAUGAUUGGGCGUAAAGCGUCUGUAGGUGGCUUCAAAAGUCUCCUGUCAAAGAUCAGGGCUUAACCCUGGGCCGGCAGGAGAAACUCUGAGGCUAGAGUUUGGUAGGGGCAGAGGGAAUUCCCGGUGGAGCGGUGAAAUGCGUAGAGAUCGGGAGGAACACCAAAGGCGAAAGCACUCUGCUGGGCCACAACUGACACUGAGAGAAGAAAGCGAGGGGAGCAAAAGGGAUUAGAUACCCCAGUAGUCC
rnacentral:rRNA from 1 species